GAUGAACGCUGGCGGCGUGCUUAACGCAUGCAAGUCAAACGAAGCACUUUUACGGAUUUCUUCGGAAUGAAGUUUUAAUGACUGAAUGGGGGACGGAUGAUUAACGCGUGGGUAACCUGCCUCACACAGGGGGAUAAGAGUUGGAAACGGCUGCUAAUACCGCAUAAGCGCACAGUACGGGAUGGAGCAGUGUGAAAAACUCCGGUGGUGUGAGAUGGACCCGCGUCUGAUUAGCUAGUUGGGAGGGCAACGGCCUACCAAGGCGACGAUCAGUAGCCGACCUGAGAGGGUGACCGGCCACAUUGGGACUGAGACACGGCCCAAACUCCUACGGGAGGCAGCAGUGGGGAAUAUUGCACAAUGGGGGAAACCCUGAUGCAGCGACGCCGCGUGAGCGAAGAAGUAUUUCGGUAUGUAAAGCUCUAUCAGCAGGGAAGAAGAAAUGACGGUACCUGACUAAGAAGCACCGGCUAAAUACGUGCCAGCAGCCGCGGUAAUACGUAUGGUGCAAGCGUUAUCCGGAUUUACUGGGUGUAAAGGGAGCGCAGGCGGAAGGCUAAGUCUGAUGUGAAAGCCCGGGGCUCAACCCCGGUACUGCAUUGGAAACUGGUCAUCUAGAGUGUCGGAGGGGUAAGUGGAAUUCCUAGUGUAGCGGUGAAAUGCGUAGAUAUUAGGAGGAACACCAGUGGCGAAGGCGGCUUACUGGACGAUAACUGACGCUGAGGCUCGAAAGCGUGGGGAGCAAACAGGAUUAGAUACCCUGGUAGUCCACGCCGUAAACGAUGAAUAAUAGGUGUCGGAAAGCACAGCUUUUCGGUGCCGCCGCAAAACGCAUUAAGUAUUCCACCCUGGGGAGUACGUUCGCAAGAAUGAAACUCAAAGGAAUAGACGGGGACCCGCACAAGCGGUGGAGCAUGUGGUUUAAUUUGAAGCAACGCGAAGAACCUUACCAAGUCUUGACAUCCUUCUGACCGGACAGUAAUGUGUCCUUUCCUUCGGGACAGAAGAGACAGGUGGUGCGUGGUUGUCGUCUGCUCGUGUCGUGUG
rnacentral:rRNA from 1 species